rnacentral:rRNA from 1 species
AUUGAACGCUGGCGGAAUGCUUUACACAUGCAAGUCGAACGGCAGCACGGACUUCGGUCUGGUGGCGAGUGGCGAACGGGUGAGUAGUGUAUCGGAACGUGCCCAGUCGUGGGGGAUAACGUAGUGAAAAUUACGCUAAUACCGCAUACGAUCUAUGGAUGAAAGCGGGGGAUCGCAAGACCUCGCGCGAUUGGAGCGGCCGAUAUCAGAUUAGGUAGCUGGUGGGGUAAAGGCCCACCAAGCCAACGAUCUGUAGCUGGUCUGAGAGGACGACCAGCCACACUGGAACUGAGACACGGUCCAGACUCCUACGGGAGGCAGCAGUGGGGAAUUUUGGACAAUGGACGCAAGUCUGAUCCAGCCAUUCCGCGUGCAGGAUGAAGGCCCUCGGGUUGUAAACUGCUUUUGUACGGAACGAAAAGGUCUCUCUUAAUACGGGGGACUCAUGACGGUACCGUAAGAAUAAGCACCGGCUAACUACGUGCCAGCCGCCGCGGUAA